UCUUUACUUAAGGGGAGUUAGUGUUAACUGGCUGAGAGGAAACUUGGAUGUUUCGACCCAAAACCUGAUUUGGAUAAUGCCAACGGAGGGAAAUAUAAAAUAAUCCGU
rnacentral:ncRNA from 1 species